rnacentral:rRNA from 1 species
UACGGAGGAUCCGAGCGUUAUCCGGAUUUAUUGGGUUUAAAGGGUGCGCAGGCGGGAGAUUAAGUCGGCGGUGAAAUUUUGCAGCUCAACUGUAAAAGUGCCUUCGAAACUGGUUUCCUUGAGUGUGGAUGAAGUAGGCGGAAUUUGUGGUGUAGCGGUGAAAUGCAUAGAUAUCACGAGGAACUCCAGUGGCGAAGGCGGCUUUCUGGACGAUAACUGACGCUGAGGCCCGAAAGCGUGGGGAGCGAACAGGAUUAGAUACCCCGGUAGUCCCUGA